UUAACCGGAUUAGAUACCCUGGUAGUCCACGCCGUAAACGAUGUGCACUAGACCGAUGCGGGUCUGACCCCGUGUCGGUCGUAGAGAAAUUAUUAAGUGCACCGCCUGGGGAGUACGGUCGCAAGACUAAAACUCAAAGGAAUUGACGGGGGCUCACACAAGCGGUGGAGCAUGUUGCUUAAUUCGAAGCAACGCGAAGAACCUUACCAGGGCUUGACAUGCAUGGAUUAGCUCAUGGAAACAUGAGUAACGCCUUUUAGGUGGAACAUGCACAGGUGCUGCACGGCCGUCGUCAGCUCGUGCUGUGAAGUGUCGGGUUAAGUCCCUUAACGAGCGCAACCCUUGUCGCUAGUUGCCAGCGCGUAAUGGCGGGGACUCUAGCGAGACUGCCGGUGUCAAACCGGAGGAAGGUGGGGA
rnacentral:rRNA from 1 species